CAUGGUACGUUUCAAUUGGAUGACAGUUAGGCUGCACAAAAGAUGAGUGCAACCCAGCUGCACCUAAGUUUUCCCCCUUUUUUUGUUCAUCACUGUAGCACAUACCGGCCGUUGUUCGCCCCUGAUCAUUAACAUGUCUCCUGCCAUGAUUUCGUCCGUGCCGCCCAACCUCACUAGUAGUCAACAUGCAAUACCGAUGAAUGUUCAUCUCCCUUAAGUCCCUCUCUAACACCUGGGUUUUGCACAGUAACUCCAGCAUCAACCCUUAAGUAUCUCUUUCUAACACCUGGGUUUUGCACUGUAGCUCCACCACCGACCAUCCCUCACUCACAUCGGUCAUCAUUUGUUGUCAAAUCGUCGAUCGCUGCCAACUCCCCUUAGCCGUUGGAGGUUUGCACCAUCAUUGCCGAAUUAUUUGGAUUUUAUGAGUAAAGGUUUCUUCUUCAAGAUUUGAGCCCAUAACUCCUAGAUUCUCACAUCAAGAAUACCAAGAUAACCACUGUGGUGGUGUUCUAGUUCCGUUCGAGGAUUGAGUUGGAUUCGAUUGGGUUCGAGGUUCAUUCGGAUAUUCGUUAAGAUCGAGUUCUGAUCGUUGCAUUUGAGUUCGUGUUGUUGAAUGAUCGAGGGAUACUUGAAGAAAGGUUAUUCAAAGUAAACUAGGUGACGAUUUACUCUCCUAGCAUUACCAUGUUACAACUCUGUGGACCAACUGGCUCACUAUCAUGUUACAGCUUCAUGGAUUGAUGAGUUCACUACCAUUUUACAGCUUCAUGGACUGACGAGUUCACUACCAUGUUACAACUCCAGAUCGACAGGUUGACCAUAUAUUAUAGCUUCAUGGACCGAAAAGUUCACUAUAGCUUCGUGAACUGACAAUUUCAUCAUCAUGUUAUAGUUUCAUCGACGAAUCCACUUUCAUAUUAUUCUGUGAGCCUUUGAGCCACCAGAUUUGUGUUAAGAUGUGUUAAAUUGUUCUCUAUAUUGUCAGUCAUGAUUAGUUGAUGUAUGCAUGUCCCACUAGUACGACUGUGUUUAUUGGACAUGAAUGCAUAGUCUGACCCAAGUAGUAGGGUUACUUAUUGGGGAAUUAUACUCAUCCUUUCUUAUGUUAUGU